GCCAGACUCCUACGGGAGGCAGCAGUGAGGAAUAUUGGUCAAUGGUCGGGAGACUGAACCAGCCAAGCCGCGUGAGGGAGGAAGGUACAGAGUAUCGUAAACCUCUUUUGUCAGGGAACAAAGGCGGGGACGUGUCCCCGGAUGAGUGUACCUGAAGAAAAAGCAUCGGCUAACUCCGUGCCAGCAGCCGCGGUAAUACGGAGGAUGCGAGCGUUAUCCGGAUUUAUUGGGUGUAAAGGGUGCGUAGGCGGCUUCUUAAGUCUGUAGUCUAAGCCCGGAGCUUAACUCCGGUUCGCUACAGAAACUGAUUAGCUUGAGUAUGGUAGAGGCAAGUGGAAUUUCUAGUGUAGCGGUUAAAUGCGUAGAUAUUAGAAGGAACACCAGUGGCGAAGGCGACUUGCUGGGCCAUUACUGACGCUGAGGCACGAAAGCGUGGGGAGCAAAUAGGAUUAGAUACCCCAGUAAA
rnacentral:rRNA from 1 species